rnacentral:rRNA from 1 species
UACGAAGGGGGCUAGCGUUGUUCGGAAUUACUGGGCGUAAAGCGUGCGCAGGCGGCUUCUCAAGUCAGGGGUGAAAGCCCAGAGCUCAACUCUGGAAUUGCCUUUGAGACUGAGUGGCUUGAGUACGGGAGAGGUGAGUGGAAUUCCCAGUGUAGAGGUGAAAUUCGUAGAUAUCGGGAGGAACACCUGUGGCGAAAGCGGCUCACUGGACCACAACUGACGCUGAGGCGCGAAAGCUAGGGGAGCAAACAGG